rnacentral:lncRNA from 1 species
CCAUAGUGGGACCUAGCUAUAUUUAGACUGUAUGAGAGAGUUUAGGUAGCUGUGAGUUAUAUCAAUUGAUAUGACUAAUUAAGUGUAGUAUAUUAUAGCUUCCAUGGCCGAUUACUGUUUUCUGCUCUAGCAAAUUGAUGCGGGACACAUUAGCUUAAUUUGGUAGCUUCAGUCUCGCUUAGAAGAUGACCAUUGAGCA